UGUGUGAGCUGGGCUCUGUCCCUUGGGUUCUGUACAAAUACACGGAGCUGCCCAGGGAACAGCAUAAGAAGCUGAUUUUUGUAGUUACAGGCUGUUCCACAUCACCCAUUUACAAGCGUGAGUGCAUCUCCAUCCACGUUGGCCAGGCUGGUGUCCAGAUCGGCAAUGCCUGCUGGGAGCUCUAUUGCCUGGAACACGGCAUCCAGCCCAAUGGCCAGAUGCCAAGUGACAAGACCAUUGGGGGAGGAGAUGACUCCUUCAACACCUUCUUCAGCGAGACGGGGGCUGGCAAGCAUGUGCCCAGGGCAGUGUUUGUAGACCUGGAACCCACGGUCAUUGAUGAAGUUCGCACUGGCACCUACCGCCAGCUCUUCCACCCUGAGCAGCUCAUCACAGGCAAGGAAGAUGCUGCCAACAACUACGCCCGAGGGCACUACACCAUUGGCAAGGAGAUCAUUGACCUUGUCUUGGACCGAAUUCGCAAGCUGGCUGACCAGUGCACAGGUCUUCAGGGCUUCUUGGUUUUCCACAGCUUCGGUGGGGGAACUGGGUCGGGGUUCACCUCCCUGCUGAUGGAACGUCUCUCUGGAUUAUGGCAAGAAGUCCAAGCUGGAGUUCUCCAUCUACCCAGCCCCCCAGGUUUCCACAGCUGUGGUUGAGCCCUACAACUCCAUCCUCACCACCCACACCACCCUGGAGCACUCUGAUUGUGCCUUCAUGGUAGACAAUGAGGCCAUCUAUGAC